rnacentral:rRNA from 1 species
AGCUAAGUGCGGAAGAGAUAACCGCUGAAAGCAUCUAAGCGGGAAACUUGCCUUGAGAUGAGUCUUCCCUGACCCUUUAAGGGUCCUAAAGGAACGUUUAAGACUAAGACGUUGAUAGGUUGGGUGUGUAAGCAUAGCGAUAUGUUGAGCUAACCAAUACUAAUGAACCGUGAGGCUUAACCUGACAACACCGAAGGUGUUUUAG